rnacentral:rRNA from 1 species
GACCUGAUAUCAGGCAAGAC